GGUUGGUCCAAGUGCAGUGGUGUUUACAGGUAAUUGAUCACAACCAGUUACAGAUUCUGUUGCUUCUUCCCCACUCCCACUGCUUCACUUGACUAGCCAAAA
ensembl:Y_RNA Y_RNA Y RNA